rnacentral:rRNA from 1 species
AGCAGCCGCGGUAAUUCCAGCUCCAAUAGCGUAUAUUAAAGUUGCUGCAGUUAAAAAGCUCGUAGUCGAAUUUCGGGACCAUCAUGUCGGUCGUGCCUCGGUACGUACUGGCAUUGUUGGUUUCUCCCUUCUGACGAACCAUGAUGUCAUUUAUUUGGUGUUGUGGGGAAUCAGGACUGUUACUUUGAAAAAUUAGAGUGUUUAAAGCAGGCUCACGCUUGAAUACAUUAGCAUGGAAUAAUGAAAUAGGACGUUUGAUUCUAUUUUGUUGGUUUCUAGGAUCGACGUAAUGAUUAAUAGGGAUAGUUGGGGGCAUUAGUAUUCAAUUGUCAGAGGUGAAAUUCUUGGAUUUAUUGAAGACUAACUACUGCGAAAGCAUUUGCCAAGGAUGUUUUCAUUAAUCAAGAACGAAAGUUAGGGGAUCGAAGACGAUCAGAUACCGUCGUAGUCUUAACCAUAAACUAUGCCGACUAGGGAUCGGAUGAUGUUAAUUUUUA